GGCAAGGUGGCGGAGUGGUCAACGCGUUCGACUCGAAUCGCAAUCAAAUUCCUUAGGGAGCGUCAUCGAAUCUGGCCCUUGUCG